UUUUCACAUUAUUUUUCCUCACACAAUCUAGUCCGUUAAAAGCAACAAAUACAAACUCAGAGGAAUAUUCAUCGAAUUAUUCAAAUUUACACAAAAAUCCUGAUAAAGAAAAUUUGGACAAAUUUACAGAGAGAACUCGUUUAAUAAAGGCAGUGUGUGAGAAGUAUAAUAACCCCUACAGAGCAGAGUACUAUAGCAUUCACAAAAG